rnacentral:lncRNA from 13 species
GGACAACCCAGUAAUCAACGCUCCAUCCACAAGCAGUGGUGCGGCGCCAGUCUUCAACAGCGCGCCCGGCGUUAGUGGGAAACAAUGGCAGUAGUAACUGAUGAGUGCAGUUUCUCUGGCCUGGGGAAGAGGGGUAGUAAAAUCCUCACGGACUCGAUGAACACAUUGAGUUUCUGUGGUUGCUUGGUAGCUUUUGGACAUCAGACUUUUCCAUUUUCUGCUCUAGAACUGGCCUGCUCUUCAGGCUGUAUGCUCCAUGAAAGAAGAGAUCACUUCUAUUUUCUUCAUUAUUAUACCCUCAUCAUCCAGCACAGGACAGGUGUUCAAAUAUAUUUGUUCAAUAAAUGAAUCAUGCCCUUGUUCAUUUUAAGAAUGUAAUCUUCUUGAACUGAAGGGCUAUGUCUUUCUACAAACAUGGUGUGAACUUGACAUUGUGGUAGCAGUUCAUGUGUGUGCAGUUGCUCUCAUUUUUAGGCAAAUAACUUUUACUACAUGCCAGGUCCUGUUCUAAGCACAUAAUCAUUGUGGAGGUAAAUACUGUAAUAAGUACCAC